AAACUGAAGAGUUUGAUCAUGGCUCAGAUUGAACGCUGGCGGCAGGCUUAACACAUGCAAGUCGAGCGGUAG
rnacentral:rRNA from 1 species